CUUUAAAGAUACCAAAAGUCCAAAUAAACCUCACUGUAUCUUUAAAAGUUAAUCUAAAAAGGUACAGCCUUUUAGAAACGGAUACAACCUUAGCUAGAGAGUAAGAUCUAACAACACCAUAGUAGGCCUAAAAGCAGCCACCAAUUAAGAAAGCGUUAAAGCUCAACAAUAAAAACUCCAUAAAUUCCAAAAAUAGACAACCAACUCCUAACCCUAAUACUGGACUAAUCUAUUGCAAAAUAGAAGCAAUAAUGUUAAUAUGAGUAACAAGAAACACUUUCUCCUUGCAUAAGUUUAAGUCAGUAUCUGAUAAUACCCUGACCAUUAACAGCUAAUAAAAAUAACCCAGUAAUAAAUAAUUUAUUUAUUACACUGUUAAUCCAACACAGGAGUGCACCAAGGAAAGAUUAAAAGAA
rnacentral:rRNA from 1 species